rnacentral:rRNA from 1 species
GACGAACGCUGGCGGCGUGCUUAACACAUGCAAGUCGAACGGAAAGGCCCUGCUUUUGUGGGCUGCUCGAGUGGCGAACGGGUGAGUAACACGUGAGUAACCUGCCCUUGACUUUGGGAUAACUUCAGGAAACUGGGGCUAAUACCGGAUAGGAGCUCCUGCUGCAUGGUGGGGCUUGGAUAGUUUCGGUGGUUGGGGAUGGACUCGCGGCCCAUCAGCUUGUUGGUUGGGUAGUGGCUGAGCAUGGCUUGGACAGGUAGCCGACCUGGGAGGAGGACCGGACACGCUGCAACUGGGAUGAGGCACGGACUAGUAUGGUACGCGAGGGAGGAGUAGGGAAUACUAGGGGAGGGGGCAUAGUGCGACAAAGCAACGUCGGGGGAGUCAGGCAGGGCGUAGUGUUGCGCAGUCGCCUGAGACGGGACGAGAAUGACGGUACUGGGUGAAGAAGCACCGGCUAACUACGUG